rnacentral:rRNA from 1 species
GAUGAACGCUGGCGGCGUGCCUAACACAUGCAAGUCGAGCGAACAGACGAGGAGCUUGCUCCUCUGACGUUAGCGGCGGACGGGUGAGUAACACGUGGAUAACCUACCUAUAAGACUGGGAUAACUUCGGGAAACCGGAGCUAAUACCGGAUAAUAUAUUGAACCGCAUGGUUCAAUAGUGAAAGACGGUUUUGCUGUCACUUAUAGAUGGAUCCGCGCCGCAUUAACUAGUUGGUAAGGUAACGGCUUACCAAGGCAACGGUGCGUAGCCGACCUGAUAGGGUGUACGGCCACACAGGAAGUGAGACGCGAUCCAGACUCCGACGGAGGCAGCAGUAGGGAAUGUUCCGCAAUGGGCGAAAACCUGACGGAGCAACGCCGCGUGAGUGAUGAAGGUCUUCGGAGCGGAAAGCUCUGUUAUGGGGGAAGAACAGAUGUGUAAGUAACUAUGCACGGCUUGACGGUACCUAAUCAGAAAGCCACGGCUAACUACGUG